GUGUGAGUUCGAUGCCGUGCCACGUACGUUCGGCAAAGCAAAAGAUUCCAUGGAAAAUUUAAGUCCUAAAUGUGCUCGUCUUCUAGAAAAGCUAUACCUACACUGACAUACGACAAGAAUGCCUACAUCUAAAAGAUGGGUUGCAUCACUCGGCAAUGCGACGAAGUUAUUCCGAUCAAAGCAUUAUACAUAAUUGCGGGGAUUUGAGCAUAUAUGUGUUUAGUCCCAUCUCAAUUAUAUAUUGGAAAGAUCAUGGGUACUCAUAUGGGGUUAAGGAGCCAAAAUAAAAUCUUUAGAACCAGAAGAGUAAUAAUUCUAAUCAAGCAUGCUUAUUCCAAGAACAGCUAUUCCAGGAUGGUUUAGCUACUAAAUAUAUUAUCCACUAAACAUGUUUAGGAUGCAGAUGGAUUAUCUAUAAAGCAAGAAUCAGGAGUGUAACAAUUCUGAUCAAGCAUGCUUAUUCCAAGAACAGCUGUUCCAAGAUCGAAUUUUACAUUGUUCUUGAAGUACCUCUUUGAAUAAAUAAUA
rnacentral:lncRNA from 1 species